rnacentral:rRNA from 1 species
AGUCAUGGCCAUGUUACCUUGAACAAGCCUUAUCCCAUCUGAUCUUGAAAGCUAAGCAGGGUCGGGCCUGGUUAGUACGUGCAUGGGAGACCACCUAGGAAGACCAAGUGCUGUAGCCA